rnacentral:rRNA from 1 species
GACGAACGCCAGCGACAGGCUUAACACAUGCAAGUCGAGGGGCAGCACGGGAGUAGCAAUACAACUGGUGGCGACCGGCGCACGGGUGAGUAACGCGUAUGCAACCUACCUAUCAGAGGGGAAUAACCCGGCGAAAGUCGGACUAAUACCGCAUAAAACAGGGGCACCGCAUGGUGAUAUUUGUUAAAGAAAUUCGCUGAUAGAUGGGCAUGCGUUCCAUUAGGUAGUUGGUGAGGUAACGGCUCACCAAGCCGACGAUGGAUAGGGGAACUGAGAGGUUGGUCCCCCACACUGGUACUGAGACACGGACCAGACUCCUACGGGAGGCAGCAGUGAGGAAUAUUGGUCAAUGGGCGGGAGCCUGAACCAGCCAAGUCGCGUGAAGGAAGAAGGGUCUAUGGUUCGUAAACUUCUUUUGCAGGGGAAUAAAGUGCAGGACGUGUCCUGUUUUGUAUGUACCCUGAGAAUAAGGAUCGGCUAACUCCGUGCCAGCAGCCGCGGUAACAC